rnacentral:rRNA from 1 species
AUGGUGAUGGUGAUGGUGAUGGCCCUCCUCCCCCUGCGGCGGCUCAUCUUCCUCCUCUGCUUCUUCUCCGCUCUGCCACGCCGCUGCCGCUUCCUCCCCGCCGAGGCGGCUCCGACGCUGGUCGCCAGCCUUCCAGGCUUCGAUGGCCCCCUCCCCUUCCGGCUUGAAACUGGGUACGUGACCGUGGACGAGCAGAACGGCUCGGAGCUGUUCUACUACUUCAUCGAGUCGGAGGGCGACCCGCGGCGUGACCCGGUCAUCGUCUGGAUCACCGGCGGCGACCGCUGCAGCGUCCUCAGCGCGCUGCUCUUCGAGAUAGGCCCGUUGAAAUUAAUCGGAGAGCCCUACAAUGGCACCAUACCGCGGCUGCGGUACCACCCCUACGCAUGGACCAAAGUUGCCAGCGUCCUGUUCGUGGACUCGCCGGUGGGCGCCGGGUUCUCCUUCUCCCUGGACCCCAGAGGCUAUGAUGUUGGAGAAAUCUCUUCUUCUCUACAGCUCAAGAAGUUUCUCACCAAGUGGUUCACCGAGCAUCCUGAUUACCUUCCCAAUUCUUUCUACGUCGGAGGAGACUCAUCCGGUGGAAAGAUCGUUCCAUUUCUCGCACAGAAGAUCUCAGAAGAUAUUGAAGUUGGAGCGAAGCCGUUAAUUAAUCUUAAGGGCUAUCUGGUUGGCAACCCGGCUACUGGUGAAAACAACAUCGAUUAUGGAUCGAGGGUGCCAUAUCUUCAUGGAAUGGGCAUAAUUUCAGAUCAGUUGUAUGAGACGAUAAUGGAGCACUGCCAAGGGGAGGAAUAUAGCAACCCCAAGAAUGCGCUCUGCGCUCAAGCUUUGGACAGGUCCAACCAACUGUGGAAUGAAAUUUCACAUCCACACAUUUUGUAUAAGAAGUGUGUCUAUGCGUCUUCCAGACCAAACGACGGGAGUACAGAAAGAAAGAUCCUAAAGGAGGAAGUAGGAGUACUUAAGCAUCCACCUCCUCGUCCUCCAAUGGGUUGCCAAACCUAUGGCAAUUACCUAUCAUAUUAUUGGGCUAACAACAACAUCACUAGGAAAGCCCUUGGGAUCAAGAAGGGGAGCAAGGACGAAUGGAUGAGGUGCCACAAACGAGAUUUACCUUAUUCUUUAGACAUCAAGAGCACAAUAAAGUACCAUCGUAACAUGACCUUAAAAGGUUAUCGUGCACUGGUAUAUAGUGGAGACCAUGAUGCUAUUAUACCAUUUCUCGGUACACAGUCUUGGGUGCGAUCACUCAAUUUCCCCAUUGUGGAUGAGUGGAGGGCUUGGCAUCUAGAUGGACAGUCCGCAGGAUUCACCAUAGCAUACACAAACAACUUGACGUUUGCUACGGUAAAGAACGGUGGACACACUGCACCAGAGUUCGAACCAGAGAGAUGCCUCGCUAUGUUCGCGCGUUGGGUUUCCCAUGAGCCGCUCUGA